ACCUGCUCAAGCCUGGCACGGGAGGAGUUAAGCCGGAGUGGGCACCUUGGCCCGCCGUGAUGGCCAGUGUCCAGCUCCCCACCCCCAUGCCUUUCUUCCUUUUUGCCUUUUUCCUUCUUAAUUAAUCAUACGCUGCUGCCCAAUUUAAAUAUGGAAAUGCCCAGGCCGAGGCGAUGCAAUUAUUCAUGAGGCCAGGCGGGCUGUCCGGGGCUCUCAGGCUAUGGGGCGCAUCGUGGCAUCGCUUCCUUUCUGAUGUGUGUGAAAUUAUGUGCACAAAAGGCGCCUCCUUAUCUGGGUGUGUGAACUAAAUAAAUAAAUAAGGGCUUUUGUUUGUUUGCCCGCUCAUGCACAUGACUGUUUUGACUAAACUGCUGGCGUUGUCUGCGCCUUUAUGGGGCUCAGGAGACUGGGAGGCAGGGGGCCCCCGGGCUGGCCCAGAGGCUGGGGGGCAACCGCCGGGCACCUGGGGCCCGCUCCCUCCCCUGGCACCCCUCACUACUGCGCCCCCCGCACACACACCCUCGCCGGAAAGUUCGCCCUGCCCAGGCUGGGCUCCCAGGCAGCCUGGCACUGUGCCAGGCUCGCCGCAGAGCGCAGGCAGCGGGGUGGGGCGAGCAGCAGAGGCACAGAGGACGUGGCCGGGCGCCCUGGGCAAGAACAAGACCCGAGGCCAGGGACCAGGGGCCCAGAAGGAGGCAGCGAGCGCCGGGCACCGGGACGCGGCUGGUGGCCGAGGGCCUGUGCGGCGUGGGCACGUGAGCGAAGCGCCGGCCCCGGCGAGGGCACCACCGAAGACCCGUACGCCGCGGGCACGAUCGGCUUCCAGGCGACUCCGGAGAGCGGUAGGUGCGUUCUUCACUUUCGCUACUUUGUAUUUAAAUAUUAAUGAAGGGAUUUCUAAGAGAGGCCCUUGUUCGGGGCAGGCCUUUCGAAGUCGUGAGGGCACCGAAGGAGGUUGUCCCGGAACCUGAAGCCCCACCAGCCUGCAAGAACUCCGAGGUCGUCCUCAAUCCGGAACUUGGAAUUUGUGAAAUACUGCAGCUUCCAGGCUCAGGUGUGCAGACUGCUAGCCAGAGAGGAAUUUGUUGAAUAUGUAAAAUAAGCACUAGCAGGCAUUUUAAACAAUAGAGAAAAUAUCUGUGUUUCGGGGUAGAUGUGUUUGAGAAGGUUAUGUGGAAACCACAGCCCUUUCUUGAAAAAUUGAACCUUUGAUUUACCUUUCAUUUACUUCCUAAAUCCUCCCUUCUUCCUCUCCCCCCACCCCCCCACCGGCAGGGCAGUUCUGAGAGCUGAUCUAAGGGAAAACCUCGGUCCAGCGUUAGCAGCAGUCCGCUGUGGACCAAAGGGCCUGGUGUGGAAGCAGUUGUUUAUGGUAACAUAAAACGAAAAACAACUCAUAACUUUUUGUAAUAAAUGCCCCUUUAUAGGUGGCUUGCGCACAGGCCUGGCCAGCCACCCUGGGGAGGUUGUGGGGAGCAAGAAAGGGGUGAAGGAAUGCUUGCUUGCCCUAAUUACAGGGUUUUAAGGGAAAGCUGAAAUUAAUUUCUGCAAAGUUGGAUUUCAAAAGCCGAGGUGGUCUCCGCAGGCCAGCAAUAGCUUCGUUUUAUUUUAGUUCAUCAGUUCUGGCUAUUUGGGAUUUUUAAAAUGUGUGUCUGUACUUGUGUGUACCUAUCCUGGGUUAAAAUGAAACCCAUAGCCAGUGGGUAUUAAGCCUGCUAAAUUUUAAUACGACUGGGCCACAGGUGCGAUUUCCCCUCUGCCCUCGGCACCCUGUUGAUGUGAUUUGGUUUACCUGGCUGGGUGCUUUCACCACAGUCAUGGGGUGGGAGCCUCUUCCCAUAACACCCCAGUGUCCUGGGCUGACAACCGGGGAAUGCAGGGAGGGCCUGAGUUGACAGGCCUUCCUCUUUCUGGGCCACUUGGUUCCCCUUGCUCCUAGGCGAGAACCCCAAGGAAUGAGGAGACUAUUUCAGCAGUCUGGCCGGCUAUGGCAGAAGCUGGAAGUUUGUUUCUGUCCUCAGAGGCCAUCUUUGUGCUAGCCUGCUUUCCCCUGCCCUCCCUCCACAUGCUUUUGAAUUUUUAUUUAUCACUUUAUCAGAGGCAGCUGGCAGACAUGAAAUGGGGUGGGACCUUCAGGGUGAUCUCAGAAGCAGAGGUGCCGCUGCUGAAGGCAUGCCAGUCUGGCCGGAGCUGCUGCUUGGCAUGGCGCUGGCAGUGGUGAGAUUAGUCAUACAAAGCUCAGGUUCCAUGGCAGCCUCACCUGCAGGACGCUGGAGAUGUUUUCCCUGGUCCACAGGAAGCCCUUGCCGUAGUGCUUGCUGGGCAGCAAUGGUGUGGUACCCUGCUAAGGCCAUUGGGUAUUGCCCAGGAUUAAUACAGACCUCAUGACAAGGGGCACCGUCUCUCCCUCUCCCCAGGCCAAUGGGCUGCACCCAAGGCAAGCAGCAAAGCUGGGGACCCGAGGAGGCAGGCAGUCCCUGGGCCUCAGAGUGAGGCUGUCAUUCGUCAAAACUGCCACAGAGUACCCGGGUCUACAGAAGGGGACGGGUUGAGUCUUCCGUGCACAGUGGGCCUGGCCAGGCCACCUUACCAUGCUGGAAAACACUAUGUCCACAUUUAUUUUGAGGACACACACCCACAAAGGAGGAGGCCCUGGAAACGGAAGUGGUGCUUGUCUGAUUUUUCUCACAGCCAGAUUUUAUGUAAGGAGCGGGAUACACAGGGCCCUGGAGGAAUGGACUGCAACAUGGGCUGGUGGGUGGAUGGGCCUCGGCUUUUUUGUUAAACAAGGGCCAAGCCCAGGGUGGCCUCUUGCUUAUGCCAGGCCCUUGCCAUGCCGAAGACCUGCUUGGAUGAGGGGUCUCCAGGCCACUGGCAAAGGCCCCAGCCAGGCUCAUCCAUGAGGCCCACCAGCAGCUCCACCAUGGCUGGGUCUUGUGCCCACUACCCAAGCAGGUGCAGCCAGCCGUUGGCUUUGCCCAGCAGGGCCGGCAUGGGGCUCUAAAGAGGCGUUGCUUUCCAUCCCCGUGGUUUGCAGCUGCCCGGCAGCCUCUCUGUAAAACUCCCUCGCUCCGUCCCCCACGGGGCCCUGGAGCCUGUCCCAGCCCAGCAUGGAUGAGGUCAUACUAGGAGGCAGCAGAGAGGGGUUCGAAGGUCUUUGCCCACUCAGAUGGGCUCCAGCCAGGCAGAUGUGUCCUUCUGUCCGGCAGAGCCUCUUGUGUCCUCAGUGAGGGGCGGUGUUUGGGAAGGAAAGGACAAGAAGCCACUGUUGCUCACUUGUGUGUUGCCCUGGUUGGGUUUUGAAGGUACAUUUGCAUGUUAGAGAGGAGGAAGACUCUUACGGAAAUCUCAGCAAGCAGGAGCGUCCACACUCACAGCAGGGCCUGGAGCCCAAGCAUCCUGAGCUCAAGUCUGCUUCAUUGUGUGACCUAUUGGGUGAGUCCUAUCACCUCCGGGAGCCAGAAGUUCCCUAAGCUCUAAAGCAGAAAUAUGGAUACCGACAUUAUUCAAACAUUGUUUCCAUAAAGUGCUGUUCCUGACACAUGUCUGGGGGCAUUAAGUGGCUUCUGUCUUGGUCCUCGUUGUAAGUAACAAGGCCUCUAGUUACAAAUAUAUUUUGUUUAUUGUUACCACUUAUUAUUAUUUCAUGUAUAGUAUCAUAUUCUGAGAAACAGAGAUCCCAGUUUUGGUUUCCCAGGCACGGGCAUGAAGUUGUUUACAUCCCUGCCCUGCAGGUGGUAGCAGAUGUGGACUUAGUGGCUUUGGAGGGGUGAACUGGGAGGAGCUGGCAAAGCCAGCACUUUCCUUGUCCUGGAACUCACUGUGAACAUGACUGCCUGGAUAAUUUUGUACCUCACCUUAGGUACAGGACAUAGGAUAGGGUUCCCUUGGACCCACAUGUACUGAUGGCAGAGGUGCUCCUUCCUAGGAAAGGAUGGGAACUUCCCUGAGGAUGCCAUUCAGGGAGUCACCCACAUGCAGGUUCAGGGUCUUACCUUCACUCCCCUUCAGGGUCCAAAGUGGCUACACCAGCUGCCAUUGUCCUUCCUGGACAUGCAGGUGGCAUUUUGAUCAGAGAAUUUUGCCACCCUAGAGAGCUGAUUGUUCCUUGGCCCAGUACAAGAGAACAUUUACCAAAUGGCUUGCUUUGGAGGAUUUCAUCUCUCAGUGGAUUGUCCAGGAACACCCAGCCUGAUUGCCCUUUCAAAACAUCUCAUAGGAACAAGAAGGAACCCUAAGUGGCCCUGGUCAUGCCUUGUGAUGGGAUAGAGCCACAGAGAGAGAAAAAGCGACAAUUGUCUCCAAGCAGAGACAAUGGAUCUUUUAUAUGAAAUAUUUGUUUUCGGGGUUGACCAGUGUUACAUUGGCUGGGACAUUCGGUGGAACCCCAGUGUCUGGGUAUUGCAGGCUGUGGACACCUAGCUAGAGACAGAGAUCUAUAGGAAAAAAAAAAAGAAAGCCCCUGACCUGCGGCUCUUGGGAAAUUUCUGUGGGCAUGUCUGGCUUUCUUUGUCGAGUGGAGUUUAAACUUUCAAAAGUUUUUUUCCUUCUGCAAUAUUUUUUAAAGGCUCUGUGAGGAGAAGUGGCCAGGUUUUGGACCAUGGGCCAGAUGGGACCUCCUUCAGGCCAGGCCUUGUUGGCCUUUGUCUACCAGCAGCAGGGUCACCAAAUGAAAGUGAGAAACAGGGACUAGGAAGAGGGAGGGUGGGUCCGCAGAGGGCAGGGACUGGGGCUUUGAUGGGGCCAUUUGGGCCGUGUUUGUGGUUUUCUAGAAUCAUCUGGUCCUCCCCAGAUCCUGUGCUCAGAUGAAUGUGGGAGUCUGACAGGACCUAGAGAAGCUGCACACGGGCCCUCAAACACCCUUCUAGCACCACAGGGUGUUUUUGUGACUUGUGACAAGCCUGGCCCUGAGUUAGUCCUGAAUGGAUAUGUUCUAAAUUCAUAGAGUGAGCACAAGUCCCUCUGAGGCCUCCAUGUGCGUGUCUGCAUGGGCACCGUGUUAGAGCUGCCCCUGGCUGUGGACCUUCUAGGGGGACAGGGCCUGGGGUGUGGGUUCUUGUAACGGAUACCACUGUGACACUGCCACCCUCCCUGGGUGAUGAGGGAACCUUCCCUGCCACACUUCUUGGUCCUCCAAAAGAUUCUGUUGGCAAAUAAUAUUUGUUUUCAAAAUAAGGUGUUUUUUUUUUAAAUUACUGUCGUAUCUUUUUUUUAUUUAUUUAUUUAUUUAUUUAUUUAUCUUUUUUGGUACCGGGGAUCAAACUCAGGACCUUGCUCUUGCGAGGCAGGCGCCGGAACCACUAGCUAAAUCCCCGGCCCUUUUAUUUAUUUUUUUAAAUGUGGAAACCUCUUAGCUGCGGCCUGCUAUGGCUUGUGCUCCCUUCGGGGCCAUGGGGAGAAGUGGUAAAACUGAAAUCCUAUGAGGUGACACAGAAAUGAAAUCUUGUGAUGUGACACAGAAAACGACACCUAGGUCAUAGGUUUAUAUCUGUUUUGUUUGUUUGUGGGGUGGUGGGCUCAAAGGUAAACGGCAGCUUGGUCUUGGCAUCACAUUUGGGUGAGAAACUUUGGCAGGAGUCUUGAUUCUGGGGUCUCCCCUUUCCCCAUGGCCCAGAUCCCCCUGUGCACAGAUGUCUGGGACCCUCUGUCUGUGCAGGGCCUGGGGAGGUGACUGAGCAGAGAUGUGACCAGCAGAGGCCAUGGUUAGCGUCAUGAAAUAAGGAGGUUGUGUUUGUAAAAUGUGCACAGGAGGUGUACAAAGUGAAAAGGCCAAACUAUAUGUAUUUUAAGAUUCAGUAGGGUUUUCCCUCAAGAUUAGAGAAUGCAUCCCGGGUCCUGGAUCUCUGGUACCAGGGUGGGUUUUCCUGUAAACCCCCUUUCCUUAAAGCAGGGAUUUCAGAUGUCAGGAAGAACAUUUAGCUGAAAUAUUUACCUGCUGAUUUGUGCCUCUUAAAUUUAGAAAUUCCUUUCACGUGUUUAAGAGAGAUAUUUACAUUCAAAUCAGGUUUUUAUAAUUACAUUUUAAAUUAUAAUAAAAGGAUGAAGCCAAGGCUGCAGGUUCCCAUAGAUUCCACAGUGGGAGGAGCUUUGGUGAGUGGGGGGGUGUGCAUCACUCCUAUCUGCCUGAGGUGGUUCUGGCCAGAGGGACCCAGGAGCCAGAGUCCCUGGGUGUCACCUGUGGAGCCUUCCCCAACCCACCAGGAGGAAGCUUGUACCUCACUGCUGGUGUCUGAGCUCACAGCCACAGUCCUAUACCCUGAGCCCACCGUGGCCCAGGGACCUGCUAGGGCAGCAGCAGGGCCGAGGCUGUCCUGGACACAGCAGUGGCCACCGCUGGUCUUGGCGAGAUGGGAUGGUGGAGAGGGACCUCCUCCUAUAGCUCUGACUCCUCUCCUCAUCCUGGCAGGCUUCUGAGAAGCCACCCAUGUUUGGUAGCUUCCCUGGUGCUGCAGGCUGGUGGGCAAGCCCCACUCCACCGAGCAUGGGGGACCUUUUCCUCCUGGGGCUGGGCUCCUGGCAGCUAUGCCAGGCCAUAACUGGCACGAGUCUCCAGCAUUCCUGGUCAAGCGCAUGGCAUCGGAAUCCUACCUGCUUUGUCUGUGGCGUCAGCUGGCAAAGUAGUCACGUGGCCAGGUGCGUAAGACCAGUACCAAGGACCCAGGGCUCCUCCCGGGCUGCUUCCUUCUUGCUGUCUCAUCUGCCCUCCAUCCUGGCUUUUGGUGUGGCUCUGAGCAGGCACCAAGCAGUGUUAGAAUAAAUCAUGACCCAGGUGGCUGGAAGCUUCCAUCCUAAGGUGGCUUUAAACAUCGUCUGCCCAGCUGCCUUUUCCUGGCAUCAUGGACAAAAGGCCCUAAAGUGUCCCAGAUGCGUGAGCCUCCAUGGGGAGCAACUAUCCCCCAGCACAUAGCUGGCCCUGCCACACCCAGUGUCCCUGAGGUGACAUGGCUGCUGGGGACCCCCUUCUUAUGCCCCAGGCUGUCUGUCCUGCAUGAGUCCAGCCUGGAUCACAUCAACAGCGAGGUGAGGCCCAGCUGCCCUGAUGACCCCCGUUGGAUGCCUACAGGACAGGGCAGUGGGCCUGAUAGACUUCAGUGAGUGUGCACAGGAAUCCCCAGGCCUACCAGGCUGGGCAGAGGCUGUGACACAGGAGUAGGGAUUAUCCCUACAGUAUCUCCAUAGUGGUGGCAAGAACUGGCUCUGGUGACACUGAAGGAUUUGCAAGGCUCCAAAAGGACAUGGUUGACACACUGCCCUCUCUUCCUCCACCAUGACUGCCUGGACUCCUCCAGGAUCCUCUUGGCCCCACUGGGCAUUGGGGUGGUCUAGUGGAUACCAGGCACAGCGCUCAGCCCUCUUUUCCAUUCUGCACCCCAGCAGCCCUGAAUAGUAACCCUUUCUUUAUACACAUGGGGAGACUAAGGCUGGAGAGGAUUCUGGCUCACCCUCAGUUGGGUGGCCAUGGGACACCGUUAAGAUUCAAACACGUGGUCCAGACCCCUGGCCACAAUAGUGACCGCCUCCACGGUUGGCUCCAAGGGCCGUGGUCGGGGAGCAGCUGGGACGGGGUCCCCAGGUUCCCUCUUGAAGGAGCUAGCCAGGGUUCCGGCCACUGUCCAGUCCUCUACAGAGCUGGGGGUGGGAACAAUGUGGCCUCUAUCUGGGAUGAGCCAGGCCGCCUGGCUGCCCAGCCCCUCAGAGCAGCAGCAACAUGGCGCCCGGGCCACACUGCCUGUCCAUGGGGCUGGCUGGUGCCCGGGCCAGGCUGAGCAAGGCAUCCCGGCGUCCUUCUUGGGGGGGCAGGCGCUGAGUGGCCAGAUAAUAAGGUGUCCUUCUCCCUCUCCCCCAGCCAGCCCCCUCCUUUUUUGGUGGUGGGUUUGGGGGUCUGGCCCACCCACCUCUGCCAUGUCUGCCAUCCUCUCGGCACCCACGAGCAUCUUUCGAAUAUUCCUGGUGGGCGGGGCCGAGCCACAGCGGCCGCCUCUGGCCCCCCCCCUUCCCGGGCAGCCAGUGCCAGAUGAGAGCAGGAGACAAAAGUAGCAUUUUCCUCGUCCUCCUGGGCCAGCAGCAGGGCCUUUCCCCAGCGCCACUUGCUCCUGGCAGUCCUGCCCUCCCUACCCAGUGCUGGAGUGGCCAGGGCUCAGGCCAGGACCCACAGACCCAGGGGUGAUGGGUGGCCAGAGCCCAGGAGGCCCGAGAGCCUGCCGGCCAGGAGCUGACACCUGGGGAUGGCCAGCUGGCCAGUGGGACCCACCCUCCUCCCCUGCCAGGGUGACCGGCCAGGGCAGGGGACAUCACCUCCACUUCCUGAUUUUUGUGCAAGCGUCUCCAUCCUCCGGCACCUCGAGUGUGGCUGUCACAGAGCAGAGCCUGCGCCGGUGGGCACUAGGACCCCACACCCAGGUCUUGCCGGCUGCUGGCCACUUCCCCAGGGACAGGGACACUGAAGCCCAGGUCGGUACAGUGCCCGUGGUACAGCUGGAAAUGGGAGCUGUCAGCCCGUCCUGGCCACUGCCUGAACCAGGCCCCUGAGGGUGAUGUCCAUGUGUCCCGUGGGCCUGGGGACUCCCAUGUGCCCCAUCCUGGCUGGGCUGGGUGCCGACCGCCACCCCUGGUGCCUCUCUGCAGCAGCGGGACCAGGGUUUCUGAGAAGUCAGGGCCGGCCCAGGGCUCUGCCGGGGAAAAGGCCUAGAACCCUUUCCAGCUUGGCCAUCAGCAGGUCUGGGACAGUGGCCCGGCCAGUUUGCCUUCUCUGUGGUGCCGCCUAGGACUCAGUGCAGCAGCCCAGUGUCCUGAGGGGUCUGGGGCCUGGGCUGUGCUGGGCACCCUCCCCAGCAGGGUCUGCCCUAGACCCCCAGCCUCACACGGACCCAGGCAUGCUCCCAUGGUCCCCGGUGUCCUGUGGGCACAAUGGCAGGUAAAACCAUGACCCAGGUGGGCCCUUCAUGUGGACUCAGGCACAAGUGCACCCCAGGUCUCUGACCACCAAGCUCUCGCAUGCAGGGAGCCACAAGGGCAUAGUUCCUGGACCAGGACAGGGUCCCAGAGGGCUGUGACACACGUGACCGGCUGCUUUGGUUGUGUUUUCCAGUACUAAGGAUUGAACCCCAGGGGCUCGUGCAUGCUAGGCAAACACUCUACCACUAAGCCAUGGCCCCAGCCCUUUAAAAAAUUUUUAUUUUGAGAUAAGAUCUGGCUAAGUAGCACAGGAUGGCCUUGAAUUUGCAAUCAUCCUGCCUCAGCCUCCCAAGGAGCUGGGCUCACAGGUGUGCGGGGCAUGGUUUUUAAUUGACUUGAACUUGCUGUCCUUGAAGUCUGCUCAGAUGGACCCAGGAUGGGGGGGGGCACCAUGGCAGCCCUGCUGGCCCUGUCCCCUACCCACUUCCGGCUGUUGUCACUCGCUCCCUGGCUGGCAGCGCCUAUCCAAACUUGGUGCCUGUGGUAGGCACACAACCCACACUGAGCCGCAGCCACCAUGCUGGCCUGAGGGGAGUCACCUGUCCCUGGGGUCCCCAGCCAUCACUGCCACCCAUGUGUCAGGAGCUGGGGAGACAGAGGUGGGGGGGUGGGCAGGAAGUCAAGGCUAGAAUGAGGGCAGGGGCUGGAACCCCACCACACCCUCAGCCUGGGCAGGGUCUCAGGGGGACCCCAGACGGCAGGUGAGCUACCGAUCUCAUCUGUGGGUGAAGGAUCGAGGGCAGUUGACCAAGGGGCCUCCGGGCAGGCUGGGAGGGACAGGUCUGCUCUAAUACCAGACAGUCAGUUUGCCCUAUUUGCCUUUAAAAAUACUGUGUGCUUGGUCUUUCUGUCCCAGGAAAAUGUGGACAAAAGCCAGUGUCGGGGUCCCCGCACCACACAGGUGCCUGCCAGACCCAGAGGGCCCUGAGGUGGGAUGGGGCCUCCUUGGUGUGGGGCUUCCUGGGGUCACCCUGGGCAGAAGCAUCCAGGCCCCUGGCAGCUGUGUGACCUCCGUCAGCUCAGUGCUUCUGGGUCUCUGUUCCCUGACCCCAGACACUGGGGAAGACUGACCCUCCCACACCACUGUGUGACUGUGCAGAAGCCACCGGAGUGAUGAGCAUCCAUACUGGCCUUCCCUGGGGGACAUGUGUGCCCCGGCACUGGCUCACAUGUUGGCAGCCAUAUUGGGAUCGUGAUUUGAACCCAACACCCCGUGACUGUGAGGUGGACCUGCCCCCCACUGAGGAGAAGAGCCUAGGGGAGGCCCACAGCAUACUCUCCACUCCUGGGAGUUGGCAGGGCAACUGUGGCUGCACAAGUGACGGGCUGGUGGUGGCACCUGCCUCAAUGCUGCCCAUGUUGCCAUAGCAACCCCACACUGUAAGGAAACCAUGGGCUUCUCCCCAAGUCUACCCUCUUGUUUUCUGACACAGACCCUGUCCCCCGCUGUGAAUCAGCUGGUCCUGAGUCUCUGGGUCUGUGAGGAUCAUCUGCCCCUCUGAAACUGCCCUGCAGGGCUCAACUGCUGGCCAUACCACCCCACAGGGCUCAGUUUACCUGUCUGCAGAGUGGGAUUUUUCCUCCACUGCAUGGGCCAGGAGGGGGCCUAGAGCUGUCUUGUCUGUCUCUGCUACAUCCAGGGCAGAGCAGGGGAGGAAGACAUCCCUGCAGCCACCUAGGGUCAUCCUUUAUGGGUUCUGUGGGUUCACUGAGUGCCCACUCUCUGCUCUGGACAGGAUGUGACAGCAGCAGUCUUAGUUGGGAGCUGUAGUCUCAUGACCAAGGGUCAGGGAAGGAGAUGCGGGUCUGUGGGGGUCACAUAUUUGGGAAGUGGCCGGGACAGAGUGGCUUGACACACAUAGGCAGGCUCCCAGUGCCACACCAUGGCUGAAGCCAGAAGGUGGAGAGAGGUCCUCCUAGCAUCCCCUUGAUGGUCACCCAGCAGCUGCACUAGUCUCUGGUAUGACAAGUCCUGUUGGCUGUCCUUGGGCCGGUGGGCAGCAUCAGUCCCUGGAGUAUAGGCCAGCCCUUGGGCCACCAGGCUGAAGGCCACCAACCUAGGGAAAGAGAGCCCACCUUCCCUAAGGCCAAGGUGAAGAACUUUUAAUCCAGGCUGGGCAGUCCACGGUGGAGAGCUUCAGUGCUCUUGGGCAGGAGGUAGGUUCUAGAAGGCCUGCCUGCCCUGCUCCCUGGCCAGGCCAUCCCAGGCCUCAGUACAGUGCAGUGCCCAGUUUCUGGAGCGGAUGUCCCUCCUCCUCCUUCUCUCUGCCCGCUGUCCACUGUUCCCCGCCCUCUGGCUUCGGCCGCCUUUGUCUUCCCAAGCUCCACAAAAUGGCUGCUGCAGCCCUCCGCCAUUUUGUAACUGAAGUGGGCAGUGGCCUUAGGGGAAGGAGGAGGGAGACCCCUGCCCACUGCUUGCCCUGGGCAGCCUGGACGGAGCCCAGCACCAGCCCCCGCCUUGCCUGGUCUUGGCCAUGGCUGCCCUGGGCUUGGCACAGCCACUUGGCAAGGCAGCCCGGGAGACCUGGCCCCUCACCCAGUCCCACCCAGCCCCUUGCCACCACUGAGGCUUCCCCGCCAAGCAGACACUAAAGCCUCUCAGAGGUCAGGGGGAGCAUCUACGUGAAGGACGGUGUGGGAGCAUCUGGUAAAGGUGUCUCUCCAGGAGUGACGAGAUGUGGCCGGUGGCUGUGGCAUGGGUCAGGUCUUUGCUGUGGAGGAGGUCACUGGUGUACAUCAGGGCCCUGCCUCAGACCGCUGAGUGGCUCAGGCCCUUCAAAGAUGCCCGCUGUGGUUCCCAGACAGAGCCUUCUGCCACCUGGAGGUGACUUUUUUGCUCCUGGUCCCUCCUAAAGACCCCACCAAGGACGGGAUGGUCGGAUGCCACCCACUGCCCACCUGCCAAGGCCAGGACUGUCACACAUGUCACACCAGGCCUGGAGCCUCCUGGGAGGAAACACAGGAGCCCAGGCUUCCACAGGCAGGAAACACCCCCAAAGAAGGGCCAGGCCCCAGCCUCAAGGAUGGAGAGAUGGAGAUGAGAAUCGUUGGAGAUAAAUUGAGCCUUGGAGGCUACCGUGAUUGCCUGGUGGUUAAGCGCGUUGGGGACAGAGAGGCUAUGCGAUUCCACCUUCCCCUCUGGGCACCGAGUGAAUCCUGGGACCUGACCCCGGGAUAUGAUUCCUGACUUCCUUGCUGCCAUGAACAGCCCUUGGAGCUGGCAUCCUUACCGGUUUACAGAGGACACCACCGAGGCCCAGAGGGCCACCAGCCUGCCAGCAGCUGGUUGCUUGCAAGGGUCGGAACUGUGCCCCAAAACCUGUCAUCCAGGCUUCUCCUCAGCUCACAGCUGUCAGAUUCGCUCGGGCUAUUGUGGCCGCUGCUUAUGCCCGGCCCACCCUCUCCCACGCCUGGGGGCCCCAGAGACAGGAAAAGAGAGAGCCUGGUGGGGACAGACUCACAAGUGGCAUUCCCUGCCCUGUGCCAGGCUCAGCAACUCCGGGGAGGGGACCUGGGUCCCAGCAGCCCCGGAAGGCUGGCCGGCCAUGGGUCCCAUCCAGGGUCUGUGAUGCCAGAUCCUGGCUCUCAUUUGCCCCUGUAUCCCCAGGAUGCGCUUCUGGGGGCCUCAAGGCCUCUGGGUGCCUGCUCCUGGCCUGGCCAGUGCCCCCCAGCCACACUCCACCUGGGCCCAAGAACGAGCCUGAGCCAUCUCUGUGUAAGCUUGAUAUUAUUACAGGAUGGUCCUUUUUGCUUUGGAUGUUAUUUUUCUUAAUCUUACACGAAGACGUAGUGUGGGGCCCCUUAAACUGCCACAGCCUGGAAUGGCCCCAUGGGCGUGGCCCACUUCGGGGUCCCCUGGCCAGCCACAUCUGAGCCUCAGCCUGACCGGGGCUUGCGUCUCGUUAACUUUAUGGGCUGUGCGCAGGGAGCCCCGGAUGCCAGCCCUCCAUCCUUCCCAGACGCCAUUGUUGGCACGGCUUGCUGAGCAGAAACACUGGCCGCUUUAUGGGAGAAACCUAAUCAGGGCGGGCAGGGGGCCGGGGGGGGAGGGGGGGCUCUGGCUCCUGGUGGCCCUGAGCCAAGCCCGAGGUGACUUCAGGGUGAGACUGUCUGUCUGCCUUGCUCACUCCAGACAUCCGCCCAGCCCUGAAAGGGCCACCUGCCUGCUGAGGCCUCCGAGCACCUGUCCUGGAUGGCCCGUUCCUCCCCAGCCUGGCUGCCCGGCACCCUGCCCACAGGCAGACAUCGUGGGGUUGGGCAGGGCCCGGGAGGUGGCAGAUGGCGGGGCGUCUGCUGACUACUUGCUCCCUGGCGGCUCCACUCAGGGCUCGCCAUUCACUUGGCUCGGGCCAGGGAUUUAGCUCAGAGGUUCCACCGCCUGCCUCGAGAGCACAAGGUUCCAAGUUCUAUCCCUGGUACCAAAAAAAAUUAAGGCACUAUCCACCCUGCUGCCUGGCCCUCCCUGGGGCCCUUCUCCGCCAUCCCCAGGGAGGGGACGUCUCUGUGGUGUUCCCAGGAGCAAGCUGGAGGUCACGUCAUGGGCUGGGCUGCAGGCCAGGGGGGACCUGGAACAUCUCAGCCCCCACCCCAGACCUGACAUUGGGAUCUUUUCCCCACUGGUUCAGAAACGGCUGCCCCCACUCCCCAAGAUUGGUCCUUGUGUAAGGAGUCAUCCGGAUCCCAGGUGGCGCCCCCAGCAGGUCUGAAAGGUGGCCGAGUGGAGCUUCCGUCCUCAGCAGCCAUCCAGCCAGCCCAUCAACCUUCUCUGGAAAGUAGAGAGCCCCGGGCCACCUCACGGGGGCUGUGCUCAGAGCCAUGGCCCCUGCUGUCCCACAGGCUCCCCCAGCGUGGCUGCCCUUGGGGGUGGGGUCCCUGGGCAGCCUCUUCUCCCCGCCCCUCCAACUCUCAGCCCCCCAGUCAGCUUGCUGAGGACCCACCCAGGUGAGUCUGGCAUGGGCGAGAGGGAACCCCACACAAGGGAAACUGAGUCAUAUCUGGGCUAGUGCCUUGGUGGGCAGGGUAGGUGGGUCAGGCUCUUGGGUGUCAGUGCAGACCCCCACCGUGGGUGAGGAGACCACAGCCAACCAAGGUGGGAGAUGUGGGUGCCCAGAGCCCGCAGUGAGGGCAGCCAGGACUGCCUGGCAGGCAGUCCUGCCCCACAGCUGGCCUGGCAGGCUGGUUCAGAUCCCAGGAGCAGGGAGGGACCUAGGUCUAGGUGCCACCCCAGUGCCUUCCUCUGGCCGCUUCCAGGGGCCCACACAGGGGCAGACGACGUUCCCAGACAGCCAGGACCAGGAGCUGGCAUCCUCCCGGGUGACCAGACCAUAACAGCUGGUCUCGAAGCAGGGUGGCUGGGCAGUGCCAGGAUGCCCCCUUCACUCUGCAUUGCCAGAGGGUCAGGAGACGCAAUGUCACUCUCCUCCCAGACCCCACCUCUGGCUCUGCUUGGACAGGUUUUGGGGACAGCCAGUCCUGUCUGCUGACCAAGGGUCCAGUCCCUUCAGAUUUCCUUCUGGGGCCUCAUAGAGCCGUGGGGUGGCUGUCACCAUUACUGGACGGGGCCUGCAUGGGGCAGGGGGGUUAGCAGCACUGAGUGAGAGCCCUGGUGCUCACCCCACUGACUGAGGGACCUGGGACGGGGCAUGGUGCCAUGCGCCUGAAGCUGUCCAGGGUACGGUGCUGCCCUGCACCCGGGGACAGCGAGCCAGACAGCACACAGCCCCUCUUCUGAAGGGCUCUGCAAGCCCUGGGGCAGGGAGGACCUGGGAGGACUCCAUGCCCUGGCACCCAGCAGCGCCUUCUCUACACCUCCCUGUGCCAGGCACCCUGAGCCCUGUUCCCUGGAGGACAGGCACCAGGCCCUGAUGUCCAGCAGGGUCUGCAGUGCCACCUCCCUGGGCAGCCAGGCGAGCUCCAGAAAGAAGGAGCAGCGUCCUGUGCCUGUCCUGCCACAAGGCCUGCCCAGGCCACUGUGGGUGGCAGGGGCAGGACCAGAGCCCUAUGGGGGAAAAGCCCACCGCCCACCCAGAGUCCCAGUGCCACACCCUGUGACAGCCAAGUGGGAGGUGACAGCCUCCUCUUGGUGCCUCCCAGGUGGGUGGAGUCUCUCGGGGACACGGUGGCCACCCCUGUCUGGAUAGCAGUGGUCCGGAGGCCUAUGACUGGCCUCCCAAGCACCCAGUCUUUUCCUUCCCCUCCCACGUGGGUUGGCAAUGUCUCGUGGCCUUCUGUCCCCAGCAAUGCCCAGGAUCCACACCUGGCUCGCCCUUACCCCGCUUGUUGCUCCAGGAGGCACCCGGAAGCCAUGAGUCCCUGCCGGCGAGAGACUGACAGCCCUUUGGGGUGAGGUAGUAGGUUGUAUAGUUUGGGGCUCCGCCCUGCUGUGGAUAACUAUACAAUCUACUGUCUUUCCUGAAGUGGCCGUGAUAUCUGCGGUGGACACAGCCCUGGGCCCUGACUGGGACUUGUGGGGGUCAUGGGGGGUCAUGGCUACAGAGCAGCGAGAGGUGCAACCGGCUUGGGAGGCUCUGCGGGUUGGCCCCGCCCACCCCAAGGGUGUCCGUCCUGAUACCUGGCAUCUGCCCAGCCUGCCCCACUAGUGCUAGGCCUCUGGUGAGGGCAGUGGCUCUUCCCGGGCAGGGAAGGCAGCCCAGGGGCCUUUGCCUGAUAGCAUGCGAGAGGGGCACUCACUGAGACCACCCUUGUCUCCACCUCCUGCCCUGCGCCCACCUGGCCCUGCAGUGCCAGUGGCCAAGGCCCACAGGGCAGGGUUGGAAAGCAGGGCGCAGGGCAGGCCCUCCUGGUGGGAGCGGGCACCGGCGGGGUGAGGUAGUAGGUUGUGUGGUUUCCGGGCAGUGAUGUCGCCCCUUGGAAGAUAACUAUACAACCUACUGCCUUCCCUGAGGAGCCCCGUGACAUCCCUGGGGGCCCACCACAGCAGCCACGUGCUGGGAACAGCGCUGUUCUGACAAGGAAUGAGAGAAGCAGGGGCUGGAGCCCGGCCCCCGAGCCAGGGGCUGGUCAUUGUCAUUUCCUCCAGGGCCAGUGUGGGUGACGGACAGGCACAGGCCACCUCCCUCCUCUAGGCUGCUCAGUCGGUGGUCAUUUCUGUCCCCUUACCAGUACUAGGCCUCAGCCUCCAGACAGCGGCCUCUGCCUGCCUUAAGCCCCCUGCCCAUGCUGCCCUGGCCCACCCCUGUCACCCCAGGGCACCUCCCGUCUCCCCCCUGUUCCAUGGAGGCGCAGCCCCAAGCCGGGCCCCUGAGGAGGCAAACCUAGCCCUGCACCUGGUGGCUUUCUGGAGGAGAUGAUGCCAGCUCCUGUGUGUCCCUCCCUGACCUCCAGGACCUCUCAGCUGGUGGGUGUCAGGAUGCCCCAAAGGAGGGAAUGAGGGCAGGAGUUGUCCCUCACCCAGCAGCCGCCUGUGGAUGUCCCAGGGCCUCGGGCACAGGGCAGGUCCCUGACUUCCAGUGUGAGCUCAGAAGCCCGUUUGAGAGGGUGGUGUCAGAUUUACGGGAUGUCAGGCGCCACCUGCUGCCCGAUGCAGGGAGUGGCCUGGCCCAGCCCAGACCUGGAAGCUGAGGCUGCGUGGAGCCCUGAGAGCUGCCAGGAACAGCCCUACCAGGAAGGAGAAUGGGGCCAGGACCUCGGCGGAGCCCGCAGCGGCACAGCUCUACUGCUGCUCCCUGGGAGUCUGCCGGGGCCGGGCUCCCUUGUGUGUAGGCCGGAACGACGGCCCAGCAGACCCCGCCCGUAGAGCUCCAAGGGACAGGACUGCCGUCCAGGACCAGCACCGAGGAGAGGCACAGGGGCUCAGAGUCACACAGCAGGCCCCACCUGUUCAUCAGUGGGCACAGCUGGGGCCCAAGGGACAGCGAGGGACCCACAUGUCACUCCCUUUAACAUCCAAAAGAAGCCAGGUGUGGCUGACCCACACCUGAAAUCCCAGCGCUGGGGUGGCUAGGCAGGAGAAUUGUCAUGAGUUCAAAGUGAGCGUGGACUACAUAGCAAAACCCUGCCUCCAAAUAAAUAAUGAAAAUAAACUCUAAAGGAGAAAUGAACUUAAAAAUAUUGGACACAAAUGAUACAUAAUAGGUAUUGACCUGUAGGUAUAAUGAGUGCACAGUAUUAAUUUACGGUAUGCUGUUAGGUGUUAUGUGAUGAACAUAAUGAGACUUUAUUACACGAUAUAUAGUGGACGCGCGUCUUAUGUUGUGUGUCUGAUGUUUGUGAGGGGGCUGGACAACUGGAGAUUGAGCUUAGGGCCUUUGCACUAAGCUAGAUCCCCAGCCCUUUUUUUGCGGUAGGUUCUGGCUAAGUUGCCCAGGCUGGGCUUGAACCUGGCCAUCCGAGUGCUGGAUAAGAGGCGUGUGCCAUCACGCCUGAUUUGUCUUCGAGCUACUCCAGUCAAACCUGCUGGGUUCAUGGAGGAAGGGCUCGGGAAGGCCAGGUGCCCGCCCCCGGGGAGGGCAUGCUGGGCACCGCCCCCGGAGGGUGAGGGGCUCCUUCCGUUCCGGGCCUUCUCGGACCUGCUUCGCCCUGUGGAGCCACCGUCCGGGCAGCCCAGACUCGCCACCACCUGUCUCCCCCCCGCAGUCGGCGCGUUUUCCAGCAGCGCCACCGCGUGGCAGCAGGAGGAAGUGCUGGCUGAGAGCUGUGAUCACCACGCUCCGCCUACCCCAGUCAGCGCCCUGUCCGGGGGAAGGGGGGUGGAGCCUGGGUCCCAGGACAAGGCUGGGGCGGCCAGAGUGACCAAGGGGUGUCUGUCCUCCAUCUGCCCUGCACUCGCCGACCCCUGCCCUGGGCUCUGUGCCCAACACAGCAACAGGACAGGAUUGCCGGCUCAGAGAGAGGACUAAACCCAGGGAACAGGCUUGGCUCGCGCGCACACACACCCUGUGUCCUGCCACACACAAGCCUGUGAGAGGAGCCAGAGGGAGCUGCCCCAUCCAGGCAACCCACACGGGGACGGACAAGCCUAGGAAGUGGCUGGUGUGGCUGAGCCUCGCGACCAUGGAGGUGACAGGCUGGGAGGGGACAGGACCUGGGUCUCCCUGGGUCUCCCUGGCUCUCCUGCCAGGCCCUUCUGGAGGACUCCUGCUGGGGGGUCAGAGCAGGCGGGCCUGCGGGUGCUGCUCGCUCGCUGCCUGGGGAACAAGACCAACUCCACACCUAUCCACAGCAGCCCUCAGCCCCGGGCUUCCAAGCCCCUGCGGGACCUAGCCACAGCGCGUCCACGUGGGCAGCCAGGACACUCUCUUGGGUGACACUCAGUCCCCGCUGCAUGGACACGGAGCCCGAGUGACUUUCCCAGGGCCCCUUGGCAGGUCGGGGGGAGCCAGAGUGGGUGGCGGGCUCCCGCGUGUGGCAUGGUCCAGAGCGGGAGCCCUGGGGUGGGGACUGAGGCUCCACAGGCAGAACAGGGGCUGCCCACUUCCUUGGGUGGUGGGCAGAGGAGAGGCACGGCCCGAACCUGGAAGCAGGACAGCUGCACCCCAGCAGCCAGGCUUCCCUGGCCGCCUCUCCUCACCCUCUCCUCUUUCCCUCUCAUCCUGGGCCCAGCGGAGCCUCUGUCGCCCAGCCGAGCCCUGCCUGUCCUUUAGACCUUUGCAUCGCCUGCCUAAGGCCUGGGGAGCCCUUCAAGGUCCUGGCAGGAGUGGUUCCUGGGGGGUGCCCCCCACCUCCAUUGUGGGACCUGACGGGGAACCCCGGAGCCCAGCAGCUCACCCAGGGCCCACAUCCUGGCUGAACAGGAGGGGCCCCAGUGCUCAAAGUUCCCAGAGGUCCCAGGAGUGAGCUCAGGAGACGAGACCAGGGCUUCCUGCAGGAAGCAGUCAGGGGCCCAAGAAGACCCCAACGCCAGCUUCCUGAGCCCCUGUGGAGGGACGAAGGUGGCCACGCUCUACAGGGAAGGGACCCAGGGCCAGUGAGAGGAUCCCAGAGGCCGGGCUCUGCUGUGCACGAUGCUGGCCCUGGUCACACUCCGUUAGCCCACCAGGGGACAGGGUGGACAGGAGCUGAGGCUGUGUGCAUCCCACUCCUCAGGACUAGGGAAGGGUCUCCUCCUGUCCUAACCAUCUCAAUCCCAGGGUGCCCUCGUCUGCAUCCAAACAGAGUCCUCCCGUCACCGCCCCUACCAAGUGUGGCCAUGAGUGCCGUGGGCCCUGGCACCCACCCUCCCCUGGCACACAGUAGCUGUGCAGUCAGUGAAUUAAAGUCAGCGCUCGGUGAGAGCCCAAGGGCUGCUCAGCAGCAGGAAGCAGCCCCUGGGGACCCAGCUGGGGAGGUGGCUGCUGUCCCUGAUGCUCUGGAACUCAGAGGGGCCCAGGACACAGGCAUCCAGAGAUGCCGCCCAUGGAGUCUGGUCCUGGAGUCCUGCCCCAGAGCCUGCCAAAGGCUCUGACAAAGCCUACAGAGGGGGUCCUCUCGCUUCAGCCCUCCUGACUGUUCACAGCCUCCCCAUGCCAGACCCCAGCUCAAGUCCCUCAGGGGCUAUCUGUUCCCCAGGGUGUUGGCCCAGCCUGGCCACCAUGAGGGCAGGGAGCUCUGAGAGGGGCAGACUUCAGGAUCUGGAGCACAGUGGUCAGUGCGGACGGUACUGGGGGUAUCAUGCCCCAAACUUUGCCAGACCUACACGGUUCCCAGCCUGGCACCUCAUUAUCAGACCCAGCCUCCUGCCACUUCACUGAUGCUGCCCUCUAGGGCUUUGUCAAAGCCACUGCCUCCAGGCAGCCACCUGGCCCACCUUGCAAGAAGCCAGAGCCAGUGGUGGGGUCCCUGCUCCUGUGCUCACUACUCUGUGCCAUCCAAGGAGCCUAGCACCUUGUCCCCUGACCCUCUGGGCUGCAGGUCAGAGAGCCCCUCCUGCCCCAUCCCGAGGCAGGCUGACUAAGGAUGUGCCAAGCGGGUGUAGGGACGGGCCUGGCUGGGCGGCGCACCAAGGGGUCCAGGGAGCUCCGGGGUGGGCACAGUGUAGGGAACUCUGGGUGCCUUGGGUCUCCUGCCCAUCCCUGCUGUCAGUGGAAGCUGCAGACUGGGCCAUGGGGCUGGGCCGAGUGUGACACUCAGACCUAUCCCCUCCAUUUCAGUAUCUCACACCAAGACCCUGAGUGGGGUUCUGUGACAGCAGGGCUCCUGGGGCACAGCCUGGCCAGGGUGGCAGAGCAGGCCACCACUGGGGGCACACUCAGCCCUUGGGGUGUAGCACUCCGGAUGGACUUCCCAUCCUGGUGGAGCUGGCCCAGAGUCCCUGUAUCUCCCAAGGCCAACAGGCACAGGAUGGGCCUCCGGAGCCCUGUCCUCCAUCCCUGGUUUAGGCCCUGCCUCCACAAGGGACCGGGGGACUCCUAACCCCUCUUGUGAGCCUGUUUCUCUGUAUGCACCCUGAGGAGGGUCUGAGACACCGCCUGCUGUGGCCUGGGGCACAGUGGCUCCAGGUUUGACCAGCAGAUGGCGCUCGGAGCCCAGGGAAAUGUGGUGGGCGGCACUGCAGGUUGGCAGUGACAGGGGUGCAGCCUUGACCCCAGGCCGAGGACCCCCCCUUAAGAGUGAGGAGGUGGGGGCUGGUUCAGGAGAGCAGGGGUCCCCUCUCCUCUGGCUGCAGCCCGGGGACACUGCUGACUGGAGGGAGGAGCAGGGAAGACUUCAGAACACACGCAUAGGACUGUCAUCCCCUGUGGACGAGACUGUCCCCGGCAGGGUCACCCUGCAGAGUGGAGGGUGCUGGCUCAGGCCAGGCUAUGGGAGGCUGUGUGGCCCAGAGUCACACCCAGCAGGAGAUAAGAUGGCCAGAGAAGGGCCGAGGGAACCGCUGCUGUCCACCACUGUUGGAGUUGGGGGGGCGGGGAGGCGGCCUCUCAGGGGUCCUGCGAGUCUCACCUGUCCCCAGUACAGAGGCUGCCGUCACUUGUCCCAUCUCUGUG
rnacentral:lncRNA from 1 species